rnacentral:rRNA from 1 species
AUGAAGGCCCUGUGUUGGAACAUUAGAGGGUUCUGCGCUAGGGGGCGCAGAGACCAACUGAAGGACUUAAUGCGCGCUGAAAGAAUUGAUUUUAUCGGGCUUGUUGAGACUCUUAAACCCUCCUUUUCUCCUUCUGAACUAUCGGCGAUUGCU